AAUAGCUAACGAUUAGUUGGUGUCACAAUUGUGACUUAAAAGGGAAUUUGGUGAAAUGCCAAGACUGUCCCCGCAACUGUAAAUGUGGACGAAAUGAGGUAACCACUGUAUGAAUGGGCUUAAAAAAUUAGGUCCCCAUAUGGGAAGGCUCAAAGUAGGAGGAAGCAUAAGUCAGUAGACCUGCCAAUAAUCACACCAGUUU
rnacentral:ncRNA from 2 species